rnacentral:rRNA from 1 species
AGCAGCCGCGGUAAUUCCAGCUCCAAUAGCGUAUAUUAAAGUUGUUGCAGUUAAAAAGCUCGUAGUUGAAUUUCGGGAUCAAUAUAUUGGUCGUGCCUUCGGUAUGCACUGGUAUUAUUGAUUUCUACCUUCUGACGAACUAUGAUGUCAUUAAUUUGGUGUCAUGGGGAAUCAGGACUGUUACUUUGAAAAAUUAGAGUGUUUAAAGCAGGCACACGCUUGAAUACAUUAGCAUGGAAUAAUGAAAUAGGACGUUUGACCCUAUUUUGUUGGUUUCUAGGAUCGACGUAAUGAUUAAUAGGGAUAGUUGGGGGCAUUAGUAUUCAAUUGUCAGAGGUGAAAUUCUUGGAUUUAUUGAAGACUAACUACUGCGAAAGCAUUUGCCAAGGAUGUUUUCAUUAAUCAAGAACGAAAGUUAGGGGAUCGAAGACGAUCAGAUACCGUCGUAGUCUUAACCAUAAACUAUGCCGACUAGGGAUCGGAUGAUGUUAAUUUUAAUGACUCAUUGGACCG